rnacentral:rRNA from 1 species
AUUGAACGCUGGCGGCAUGCCUUACACAUGCAAGUCGAACGGCAGCACGGGAGCAAUCCUGGUGGCGAGUGGCGAACGGGUGAGUAAUAUAUCGGAACGUGCCCAGUAGUGGGGGAUAGCCCGGCGAAAGCCGGAUUAAUACCGCAUGCGACCUGAGGGUGAAAGCGGGGGAUCGCAAGACCUCGCGCUAUUGGAGCGGCCGAUAUCAGAUUAGCUAGUUGGUGGGGUAAAGGCCUACCAAGGCUACGAUCUGUAGUUGGUCUGAGAGGACGACCAGCCACACUGGGACUGAGACACGGCCCAGACUCCUACGGGAGGCAGCAGUGGGGAAUUUUGGACAAUGGGCGCAAGCCUGAUCCAGCAAUGCCGCGUGCAGGAAGAAGGCCUUCGGGUUGUAACGUAGCUUUUGUUCUAGGGAAGGAAAGUACUUACUUGGGCGUAAUACCCCGGGACGGAGUGACGGUACCGUCGAAGAAUAAG